rnacentral:rRNA from 1 species
GAUGAACGCUGGCGGCGUGCCUAAUACAUGCAAGUCGAGCGAACAGACGAGGAGCUUGCUCCUCUGACGUUAGCGGCGGACGGGUGAGUAACACGUGGAUAACCUACCUAUAAGACUGGGAUAACUUCGGGAAACUGGAGCUAAUACCGGAUAAUAUAUUGAACCGCAUGGUUCAAUAGUGAAAGAUGGUUUUGCUGUCACUUAUAGAUGGAUCCGCGCCGCAUUAGCUAGUUGGUAAGGUAACGGCUUACCAAGGCAACGAUGCGUAGCCGACCUGAGAGGGUGAUCGGCCACACUGGAACUGAGACACGGUCCAGACUCCUACGGGAGGCAGCAGUAGGGAAUCUUCCGCAAAGGGCGAAAGCCUGAUGGAGCAACGCCGCGUGAGUGAUGAAGGUCUUCGGAUCGUAAAACUCUGUUAUUAGGGAAGAACAAAUGUGUAAGUAACUAUGCACGUCUUGACGGUACCUAAUCAGAAAGCCACGGCUAACUACGUG